UACGUAGGGGGCUAGCGUUGUCCGGAUUUAUUGGGCGUAAAGAGCGUGUAGGCGGCCAAGUAGGUCCGGUGUGAAAACUCGAGGCUUAACCUCGAGAUGUCAUCGGAAACCAUUUGGCUAGAGUCCGGAAGAGGAGUGUGGAAUUCCUGGUGUAGCGGUGAAAUGCGCAGAUAUCAGGAGGAACACCUGAGGUGAAGACGGGUUGCUGGGCUGACACUGACGCUGAGGCGCGAAAGCCAGGGGAGCAAACGGG
rnacentral:rRNA from 1 species